rnacentral:rRNA from 1 species
GAUGAACGCUGGCGGCGUGCUUAACACAUGCAAGUCGAGCGGGCAAUUUAUCUAGCACUGAUUACUUCUAAUGGCUAUCGCCAAUGUAAUCAUGAAUUUCUACCUUAUUAAUAAAGAAAGAGAAAUUCAUGUACGCAAAUAGUGGUAACACAUUUUUAGUGGAGUGAUGAGUGCUGGAUAAAUUGCUAGCGGCGGACGGGUGCGUAACACGUGGGUAACCUGCCCCUAUCACUGGGAUAACACACUGAAAAGUGUGCUAAUACCAGAUAAUAUAAGCUUUUGGCAUCAUUAGCUUAUCAAAGAAUUUCGGAUAGGGAUGGGCCCGCGUCUGAUUAGCUAGUUGGUGAGGUAACGGCUCACCAAGGCAACGAUCAGUAGCCGACCUGAGAGGGUGAUCGGCCACACUGGAACUGAGACACGGUCCAGACUCCUACGGGAGGCAGCAGUGGGGAAUAUUGCACAAUGGGCGAAAG